CGCACCUUGCGCCCUCUGGUAUUCCGGAGGGCAUGCCUGUUUGAGUGUCAUUAAUAUUCUCAACUUCAAUGAUUUUUUGUAAUCAUUGAAGCUUGGAUGUGGAGGCCUUUUGCUGGUGUCUUUAGACAUUGGCUCCUCUGAAAUGCAUUAGUGGGGAAUAUCUACUUCGUCGGGCUAUUAUUUCCUUAGUGUGAUAGUUAUCUACGCUUCGGAUUGGCCUGAUAUAACUCUGUUCAUUUGUUUCCAUACAAGUGGUUGGGAUAUUGCAAACUAAGGUUGCUUUAUCUGGUGCACUAGAGUUUUAAAGAAGUUUAUUAACCUGCUUUCGAAUUGUCCGUGUAUGCGGACAAAGUUCAUUGACUAUUUGACCUCAAAUCAGGUAGGACUACCCGCUGAACUUAA
rnacentral:misc_RNA from 1 species